CACAUGCAAGUCGAACGAAGCAGUUAUACGAUCCUCGGGUGACGAUUACUGACUGAGUGGCGGACGGGUGAGUAACGCGUGGGUAACCUGCCUUGUACAGGGGACAACAGUUGGAAACGACUGCUAAUACCGCAUAAGCGCACAGCUUCGCAUGAAGCAGUGUGAAAAGUAUUUUCGGUACAAGAUGGACCCGCGUCUGAUUAGCUAGUUGGUGAGGUAACGGCCCACCAAGGCGACGAUCAGUAGCCGAUCUGAGAGGGUGACCGGCCACAUUGGGACUGAGACACGGCCCAAACUCCUACGGGAGGCAGCAGUGGGGAAUAUUGCACAAUGGGCGAAAGCCUGAUGCAGCCGACGCCGCGUGAGCGAAGAAGUAUUUCGGUAUGUAAAGCUCUAUCAGCAGGGAAGAUAAUGACGGUACCUGACUAAGAAGCACCGGCUAAAUACGUGCCAGCCGCCGC
rnacentral:rRNA from 1 species